AUCAGGGUUGGCCACCCCUGAACUCCACCAUGGACAAAGGUUAAUAUGAUAUAACUAAGCAUCAUUGUGCCUUGGUAUUUAUUGCCAAACCCUGUUAACAUACCCAUCCUUUUUUAUGACAGCCACAGGCCGCGCCCCGUUCACCCACCUUGGAAGAACCAGAUGUUCCCGGACUCGUCCUCGAAUGUGGCGUCCACGUUAUCGGGGAUCCCCGGCCAGUGCCGGGACGCCAGGGCGGGGUACCCCGUCUGCAGGUGCCCGUCCCGGAUCCGCCACACGUACCCCGACCUGAAGAAGAACAGCUCGCCUCGGAUCAUCGACACCGCGUCAAAAUCGCACCAGCGGGUAGGUGAAGCUGUAGAACGGUGACAUCACUGCUCCGGGGACCUGGGAGUGCUGGAGGCCGAGGACGUGGCCAAACUCGUGAGCCGCUACCUGGAGCAGGGGAUACUGUGUACACCCCCGUCUGCUUUGAUGCUGGAUGCCUGGUUACUGUGGGCUGAUCGCCAGUCUGUACCCUCUCAGACCAUCACCCCAGACCUCCCUGGACAGGUACUGCUUUAGCCGUGAUCUCGGAUUGGUCAUCAAGGGAAAUCUACUUUCAUCACCCUGAUUAAUACUGCUGUGUCCAAUAGUACUGCUACAGCUGUAACACCAUCACUGAUAUUAAUAAUAAUCACUGUAUUUUUUACCUGUACAACACCAAG